rnacentral:lncRNA from 10 species
GAGCUGAGGCCCAGUGUCCCUUACGCCCAUGUUCCUCUGGCCAAAGCAAAUCACAUGACUGACAUUAACAGAGAGAAGAAGCUGCUCUGCUCAAGGGGACAGGCACUGCAAAGAUAUCUGGCAAGGAUGUGGAUGUCUUACUGGGGAACAAAGAAUUGUGACCCAUAAUCUAGUGUAUUUCAGAAGGCUUGGGAAGCCCUCAGAGUAGGUGGCAUUCGAACUAACACCUGAACAAAGAGAAAGAAUCAGCCCUGUGAUGAUCUUGAGGACUAGUUCCAAGCAGAGGACUCAGUUGGGAGAAGGUCCUAUGGCAGGAACAGACUUGAAGGAGUGGAUGAAACAAGAAGAAUCAAGUAUGACUGGAUGGGACUGAGCAAGAGGAGGCUUGGAGAGGCCAGAAGAGGAAUGUCCUACGUGAACGUGAUUUAACAGCUCCAUCGCCUGGGGCCACGUGGAAUUCUUGAAGCAGCUGUGUCAGACAUCCGAGUCAAGUUGGGGCAUGAGUGACCUCUCAACAUCUAAUGGAGCAUUUACUCCUUAGGCAGUUGAUGACAAUAGUUCUCCAAACCUGCUGAUCCCAAGGUGGCAGGUUUCCCGGUCAGCUGUGGCUCUGAAGUAGGAGGGGUUUGCAGGAGUAUCACACACAGCUGUAGAAGGAACAGAAUCAGAGCUGGAGAGGGAGAAUUGCUCCAUGGCCAUGAGUGGGUGUCCUCUCAAGCGGAGCCCCGAGUCCAGUAGAACUUGAGGCUUUUCGCCAACCCACGAAGUGCAGAUGGUAACGCUUGCUGUUGUGUCCCUGAGACUAUAUAGGGCCUAGUGUCUGGUUUAUGCCCUUGCACUGGGUCACUCUCACCCUGGAAUCACCCGGCUGGGGACUGAACCUCUCCUGCCACCACUCCAACUCCUCCUGAGACACUCACCUCCUAAGACACUCACCUCCUGGAAAGGCCACAUCUGUUUGCCAAGGACAGAGGCACCUUCUUUGGUCCAGAGAGCUGCAGGCUGUGGUUUAUUUCGCUGGCGACCUCUUCAUCACCAGGACUGUUCCAUAGAGUGCUGUGGUACCCGUGAAAGCCAAACUUCUAAGCUUCUCAAGUUCAAAUGAUAACUUCUCUCUGUUACCUUUUGUCAAGAAAACUUUGGAUUAUGAAUCUCCGUUAUGGGGGCUCAUAAAAUGAAUUGGGGUGCAUUCAUAGAGUUGGAACACUCUGGAGCCACUGAAAAGAAUGCGGCAAAGCUGUAAAAAGGAAAGAUGUCUGUGAUAUCAUCUAUAUUCUUUUAUGUUGUUAAGUGACAAAAUCCAGCUGUAGAGGAGCAUGAAUUGUUUUAUUCCAUGUUUAUUACAUAAUGAGUGUAGUGUCGGGAAAGCCAUAUACCAAAUUGUUCACAAUGGUUAUCUUGGGGGAGUGGAGCUUGGGAACUUGUACUCUUUGCUUGAUGCAUCUCUGCUUUGUCUCUCUCUUGAAUCAGCAUGAAUAAUUUUUUAAAAUUAGAAAACCUUCUUAUUAAUAUGGAGGUAAAUAUUGGGGCAGUCCAAGAUGGCAGCGGUCUCACGGUGAGGCCCUUGUUUUAUGGGAAGAACAUGAAGGUAGGAGUUUAAGAAACCCGAUUUUUCUCUUAACCAGGGGUUUUUCCUAAUUUUUUGUGCCAUGAUCCCUCAGGACAGUGUGAUGAAGUUUUUGGCUCCCUUCUCAGAACAAUGCCUUAGGGGCAUAACGUGAAAUACGUAGAAUUACAAAAGAAGCCAAAUAUAUUGAAAUAUAGUUAUCAAAAUACUUUUUAAAAAUUUUAUGAUAUAGUAAUAUAUGUGUAUUAAAAUAUAAGAUCUGGCUGCAGGUCUAAUAACGAUUUAAUUUAAAACUAGCCAUGAGCAUAAGUGAUAUUUUGAGAAAUCUGCAACAGCUGAAUAUUGCAUGAAAAUGUCUGUGACUUCUGGUGACAAAGUCAGAUGUGCUAGUGCUACUGUGGUUUGUCACCUUCUUCAUAAAUGAAGAAAAUGCUAGAUUGUAGUUAGAGGUAGUGAAAAUAAAGACGUAAUUUCCCAUCCAAUAUCAUAGAUCCCUGUUUAAAUUUCCCAGCCUAACAUCUAAUGUUCUUAACUGGCUGGGAAGUGUUGAAUAAUAUUGUUCCCGCCCUCACAGUCUCAACUGUUUCAUCAGUAAAAUGAGGGGCUAAGUGAUGGCAAAUGUGUAUGAUCUUACAUGUCAACUGUGAUUGAUUGGUAGUGACUUGGUGAGGCAUUUUGAGAUCACCUCUGAGUUCAAUUGGAAAGGAUGCCAAUUGGAAAGGAUGAAUGAUUGGUGAUGUCUGCCAUGGGUACUAGAUGGGGGAGAGAGCAAAGCGUGCAUGGCGUACAUGUCCAUUCCUUGACUAGAUGAGCCUGUGGCCCCUUCCACCUCUGAUAUUCUACUAUGUAUGAAAGUAAUUAUUCUCUUCUGAUUCUAAUUUAACAUAUCUCCUGUCCAACAACAAGAGCAACAACACAAGCAUUGGUUAGCCCUUCCUGGGGGCUUUGUGUGUGUGUGGCAUUGGCACUACCAACUCUACCCCUGUGGACCAAGUCUUCUGAUAGACUUUUUAUUAAGUAAAAUUGUAAGCAUUACCUCCAGUUUCAAUGAUAGAAUGGUUACUGGGAACAGAUUGUCUAGGAAGAAAACACAAAUUAGUAAACACAGUCUUACAAAUGAGCCAUCUGGAGAUUUAUUUACAUAAGAAAAGAGGAAGGACUUGGUAUUUUCAUGCUGGGGUUUGUUUCUCUUGCAAGUAGCCACAGGGGUGUAUUUAUCACGAGCACACAUUGAGCUUUUUAGUGAAGAUCACUGAAAGCAUGAAAAAAAAAUGCGCAUUUGGUUGGUUAUUUGGGAAAUGGGAAGGAAGAGAAGGGAGAGAGUAAGAGAGUCACACAUACACAUAUGCACACAAAGUUUUUGAAUGAAUUUUAGCAUAUAAGAUUUCAAAAUAGUUACAAUAUUUCACACCGUGCUUUUGAAAUUUUAUAUUAUUCCCAAAGUGCUAAAUGAGAAACAUUUUUCUAAAACAAUAUCAAAGGUGGAGGCAUUCAGCUAUCACGCAAAUAUAGAGGGGCCACGAAUAAUGCUGAGGGGACCAAAACCUUGACACCAGUUGACCAGCAGUGGGAACAGUGAUCCCUUGACCUCAGAGAGCUCCCUGGGUGUCAGACCAGCUCUGCAGAACCACUUAACCCCUCCUGCACCUUGUCCUUUUAUCCACUAAUACUAAAUGCCAAAAACUAAAAAACCCAAAUUUGUGAUACAGUGAUAUAUGUGCUCUUUCAAUGCAUUAAAAUACAAGAUCUAGCUGUAGGUCUGAUAACUACUAUCAUUUAGAAUUAGC